rnacentral:misc_RNA from 1 species
AACUUUUUGCAAUGGAUCUCUUGGCUCUCGCAUCGAUGGAGAACGCAGCGAAAUGCGAUACGUAAUGUGAAUUGCAGAAUUCAGUGAAUCAUCGAAUCUUUGAACGCACUUUGCACUCUCUGGUAUUCCGGAGUUGAUGCUUGUUUGAGUAUCAGUACACUCCUCAAAUCUCUCUACUUUCGUGUGAGGAGAAUUGGACUGUAGCAAUCUCAACUCUUUUGCCUAAAAGAGGCGGGUUGCUUGAGAUGCAGUUGCAGCUGGACAUUCUUCUGAUCUAUAAGCAUAUUUAUUUAGUCCCGUCAAACGGAUUAUUACUUUUUGCUCUAGCUAACAUAAAGGUUGAAUGAACUAUAUGCUGACUGAUGCAGGAUUACCAAGUCUCGUAAAAAAGGACUUGUAAACUCGAUCUCAAAUCAAGUAAGACUACCCGCUGAACUUAAGCAUAUCAAUAAGCGGAGGCU